UCCCUAGUAGCUCAGUGGUAGAGCGGUCGGCUGUUAACCGAUAGGUCGUUGGUUCGACCCCAACCUGGGGAG
rnacentral:tRNA from 1 species